UGCCAGCCGCCGCGGUAAGACGGAGGGUCCUAGCGUUGUUCGGAAUGACUGGGCGUAAAGGGUACGUAGGCGGUUUGGUCAGUUAGAUGUGAAAGCCCAGGGCUCAACCUUGGAACUGCAUUUAAUACUGCCAGACUUGAGAUCGGAAGAGGAAAGCGGAAUUUCUAGUGUAGAGGUAAAAUUCGUAGAUAUUAGAAGGAACAUCAGAGGCGAAGGCGGCUUUCUGGUCCGAUACUGACGCUGAGAUGCGAAAGCGUGGGGGGCGAACAGGAUUAGAUA
rnacentral:rRNA from 1 species